rnacentral:rRNA from 1 species
CGUAGGGUGCAAGCGUUGUCCGGAUUUAUUGGGUUUAAAGGGUGCGUAGGCGGCUUUGUAAGUCAGCGGUGAAAUACUCUAGCUUAACUAGAGGGGUGCCAUUGAUACUGCGGAGCUUGAGUACAGAUGAGGUAGGCGGAAUUGACGGUGUAGCGGUGAAAUGCAUAGAUAUCGUCAAGAACACCGAUAGCGAAGGCAGCUUACUGGGCUGUAACUGACGCUGAUGCACGAAAGUGUGGGGAUCAAACAGGAUUAGAUACCCUGGUAGUCCACACUGUAAACGUUGAUUACUCGCUGUUUGCGAUACACAGCAAGCGGCUUAGCGAAAGCGAUAAGUAAUCCACCUGGGGAGUACGCCGGCAACGGUG